rnacentral:rRNA from 1 species
UACGUAGGGUGCAAGCGUUGUCCGGAAUUAUUGGGCGUAAAGAGCUCGUAGGCGGUUUGUCGCGUCUGCCGUGAAAGUCCGGGGCUCAACUCCGGAUCUGCGGUGGGUACGGGCAGACUAGAGUGAUGUAGGGGAGACUGGAAUUCCUGGUGUAGCGGUGAAAUGCGCAGAUAUCAGGAGGAACACCGAUGGCGAAGGCAGCCCCCUGGGAUAACACUGACGCUCAUGCACGAAAGCGUGGGGAGCAAACAGG